UUUAACGCGUUAACCGGCGGUGUUUCUCGAAACACAACAACUAGCUACAGUUUUUGCUAACUUGUAACGCGGUUCGUGUGCGAACUCGGAGCGAUUCUCAUGGUCACGGGAGACUCGUCCGUACACAGCCACGGGCAGGCGUUUCCUGGGAUCAGGGAAUACCAAAUGGGACUGCAGGAAUCCCCAGCAUCUUUUAAGCUCGUUUAGGCCGUUCUCCGGCCGAGCUGGGGUGGUGGCAGACGGAACCUCAUCGCGGGGCCGAGGUGUCUGGUACGUCGGAUUGUUUACGCGCUUCCCACCGGCGGGUAAACUGGGAUGUGAAGGCAGAAGGAGCCGCACGAGAGGAGUUCGUAUCUGCACAGCAAGUUGUGCCAGACGGAGUUGUAUAUUUAUUUAUUUCCCUUCUUUUCCUGGCAAAAUACAGUUCCGUGCUGGGGUUGGGAUAUCAUCAACCGAGGCCCCGAUUAAUUAUAAAGAUCUGCACUGUUCGAUUCCUUACAGCUGCUUGGAUUAUUUAUUGACAGCUCAAUCAUCCAGUGCUUUUUUUUUUUUUUAACAUAAUUUUUAUUGUUUGCUCUGACGUGCCUUUCAUCGACUUGACACUGCUCUAAAGUGUAUUGAUUAUCUAAAAAAAUCCAUGCCAGCUUCGGAUGAACGCUAGACAACAAGGAUGCUCCAGGAAAUCGCCUCAGCACGCUGUGGAACAUGCUAAAAGGAUAUCGUUUGCUGCAAAUCUACACCGAGAAGCCCAAUGAGUGACACACAGACCAGCUUCACUGACAGGUUUAACAAGAAAGCAAUCAGAACCAGCAGCAUUCUCAGUAAAGACCAUCCACCAGACAAGAAACCCAAAAGUGAUAAAACCUCGCCUCCCUCCAAUGAGUUUGACCCGACAGAAUCUUUGGUGGUGCAGAAGAGUGACAACAGCAGUGUGGUAGCAGA